UACGAAGGGGGCUAGCGUUGCUCGGAAUCACUGGGCGUAAAGCGCACGUAGGCGGCUUCUUAAGUCAGGGGUGAAAUCCUGGAGCUCAACUCCAGAACUGCCUUUGAUACUGAGGAGCUUGAGUCCGGGAGAGGUGAGUGGAACUGCGAGUGUAGAGGUGAAAUUCGUAGAUAUUCGCAAGAACACCGGUGGCGAAGGCGGCUCACUGGCUCAUUUCUGACGCUCAGGCGCGACAGCGUGGGGAUCAAACAGG
rnacentral:rRNA from 1 species